UCUUACCUGUCGAAUAAUCAAGUAUUGCGAAUGUUAUUAAUAAUAACUAAUAAAUAGUCGGUUAUACCCAAACGAUCUCUAAAAACACCAGGUAUAAAAACAUACGCUUUUAUUUGUACUGAGAGCGCGUGCUAUCUCCGCUCUCACUCUUGCUCAGAGAAAGUAAUUAGGGGAGUUCCUAAUGGGUGCGAGUGCAAGUGGGAGAGGGGAUAUACGAGAAUCUUAUCACCAGUGUAUAACUUGGACUGCGAUAAUUUACGACUGUCAACUGCCUGAAAUUCCUCCAAUUAAUUAAUGCAUUAUAGUGAUAGCCGUACAUUAAAUUGGUUAGGGUUUGAGGUGGGAAAAUAAAUGUGAAAGAAAAAAGUUCGUAGAUUUCCCAUUCCUCAAAACACUGUGAUAACGUCGGUAAUAAAUUCGGCGAUAGAAAUCUUAAAACGCGAACUGUUACUUGUGCACGCACGGCGGAAAGUGUUGAGCUGCAGUGAAAGUGGAUAUUUAGGACGCCGGUACUCACCUCAUUAGAUGAAGGGCAGCGCCAAAGUCCUCAAUCGUUUGCGACUCACUCAGGGCGAUGGCGACCUUCUCGACUCCGCCAAGGGGUGAAAGGGCAUCACGUGCCUUGCUGCCAAAAAGUUUUUCCAGGUAAUUGGGUCCGUGGGAGGCGAUCAGGCUCUGGAGGAAGGAUGCAGUCUCCUCGACGGGCGGCCGCUUGGCUGCAAUUAAUAAAGCAGAAACACAGAAUUUUAUCGGCUGCAAUUAAAUAAAGUUUUUGGGAGGGGGACAAUUUGCCGCAUAAUGUAAUUAAUAAUCUACGGAAUGCCUUGAUUACUAUCAGCUUAAUGCAUUUGCAUUCAUAAUGUAUUCCUAUUUAAAUUGAUUUUGUUCAUUAAGCCGGCAAACAGUUGGGCUGAUUAAUAAAUGAGAGAAACAUUA